CUUAGAGUGUGUGAGAGGAAUUCUGUCAAAGUCGCGUUUUUGUUUAUGAUUUUGCAUUGUAACACACUGCAGUCUGCAGGUCUACAGAGAUAGAUGUGGAGCCUUACAGGAGUGUUGAGCUGGAGUGUCAGGGUCCGGAAAAUGGCAAACUCAUCCUGCUGGCGUGGAAAAGACCUGAUCUGCUAUCAGAUGGAUACGUCUUCUUCUACCGAGAUGAUCUCCCACAUAAAAACUUCCAGGAUCCGAUUUUUAAGGAUCGAGUGAAGCCGAGAGAUCCACAGAUGAAAAAUAUGGAUAUGUCCAUCAUCCUGAGCAACACCACCAUUAAUGACACUGGAACCUACGAGUGUUGUAUCGUCGUGGAAGACACAGGAGACAGUAGGCAAGAAACCUCUGAGAUCAAGCAUGAAAUCAGGCUGAAGGUUAGACUACUAGGUCCAACAGAAAGAUUCGGAGAUGGAGGGAAGAGGCUGGAUUCAGUAUCGGACAGAAUGGACUGCUGAUAUCUCUGGGAUUUUCUGCAGUUGGAUUAAUUGUUCUUGUUAUUACUCUUCUGAUGCCUAAAAAACAGGAACAUCAUCCCAGCUCAUCCUAGUGAAGAAGAUGACAACCAGUUUGUCUUGAAGUAAACAUCUGGUCAACCAGGAGCACUUAGAGAAACAGAAAGAAGCUGGAC